rnacentral:rRNA from 1 species
AUUGAACGCUGGCGGCAUGCCUUACACAUGCAAGUCGAACGGCAGCACGGGUGCUUGCACCUGGUGGCGAGUGGCGAACGGGUGAGUAAUACAUCGGAACGUACCUUAUCGUGGGGGAUAACGCAGCGAAAGCUGUGCUAAUACCGCAUACGCCCUGAGGGGGAAAGCGGGGGAUCGAAAGACCUCGCGCGAUUAGAGCGGCCGAUGCCUGAUUAGCUUGUUGGUGGGGUAAAAGCCCACCAAGGCGACGAUCAGUAGCUGGUUUGAGAGGACGAUCAACCACACUGGGACUGGGACACGGCCCAGACUCCGACGGGAGGCAGCAGUGGGGAAUUUUGGACAAUGGGGGCAACCCUGAUCCAGCAAUGCCGCGUGAGUGAAGAAGGCCUUCGGGUUGUAAAGCCCUUUUGUCAGGGAAGAAACACCGGCUCUAACACAGUCCGGGAAUGACGGUACCUGAAGAAUAAGCACCGGCUAACUACGUGCCAGCCGCCGCCGUAA